rnacentral:tRNA from 1 species
GAAAAUGAAACCCCUUACAGCUGCUAACUGUAAGUCUUGCAAACAUAUGUAACAUUUUCU